UACAGAGGGUGCAAGCGUUAAUCGGAAUUACUGGGCGUAAAGCGUGCGUAGACGGUCAUGUAAGUCGGGUGUGAAAGCCCCGGGCUCAACCUGGGAAUUGCAUUCGAGACUGCAUGGCUAGGAUGCGGAAGAGGGAAGCGGAAUUCCCAGUGUAGCGGUGAAAUGCGUAGAUAUUGGGAGGAACACCAGUGGCGAAGGCGGCUCACUGGACCGGAACUGACGCUGAGGCGCGAAAGCGUGGGGAGCAAACGGG
rnacentral:rRNA from 1 species